rnacentral:rRNA from 1 species
UACGUAGGGUGCGAGCGUUAAUCGGAAUUACUGGGCGUAAAGCGUGCGCAGGCGGUUCGUUAAGUCAGCUGUGAAAGCCCCGGGCUCAACCUGGGAACUGCGGUUGAAACUGGCGAACUAGAAUCUGGCAGAGGGGGGUGGAAUUCCACGUGUAGCAGUGAAAUGCGUAGAGAUGUGGAGGAACACCGAUGGCGAAGGCAGCCCCCUGGGCUAAGAUUGACGCUCAGGCACGAAAGCGUGGGGAGCAAACAGGG